GGCGGUCACCGCUCUUGGAAUCCGAUUUAGCCAUGCGAGUCGAGAGGGUUCGGCCCUCGGCAGACCGCUCAGUAACACGUGGAUAACCUACCCUGAAGUGGGGGAUAAUCUCGGGAAACUGAGGAUAAUACCCCAUAGAUCUUCGAUACUGGAAUGUGCCUAGGUUCAAAGCUACGGCGCUUCAGGAUGGGUCUGCGGCCUAUCAGGUUGUAGUGAGUGUAAAGGACUCACUAGCCGACGACGGGUACGGGCUGUGGGAGCAGUUGCCCGGAGAUGGACUCUGAGACACGAGUCCAGGCCCUACGGGGCGCAGCAGGCGCGAAAACUUCACAAUGCGCGGAAGCGCGAUGAGGGGAUUCCAAGUGCGUGCACUCUGUGUACGCUGUUUACUAGUCUAAAAAGCUAGUAGAGUAAGGGCUGGGUAAGACUGGUGCCAGCCGCCGCGGUAAUACCAGCGGCCCUAGUGGUGAUCGUUAUUAUUGGGCCUAAAGCGUCCGUAGCCGGUCCGGUAAAUCUCUGGGUAAAUCGUUGGGCUUAACUCAACGAAUUCUGGGGAGACUGCCGGACUUGGGACCGGGAGAGGUCGGAGGUACUCCAGGGGUAGGGGUGAAAUCCUGUAAUCCUUGGGGGACCACCGGUGGCGAAGGCGUCCGACCAGAACGGGUCCGACGGUAAGGGACGAAGCCCUGGGGCGCGAACCGGAUUAGAUACCCGGGUAGUCCAGGGUGUAAACGCUGUGCGCUUGGUGUUGGGGGUCCUUCGUGGGCAUCCAGUGCCGUAGAGAAGUUGUUAAGCGCACCGCCUGGGGAGUACGGUCGCAAGACUGAAACUUAA
rnacentral:rRNA from 1 species